GACAGAGGGUGCAAACGUUGUUCGGAAUUACUGGGCGUAAAGCGUGUGUAGGCGGCUUUGUAAGCCAGAUGUGAAAGCCCCGGGCUCAACCUGGGAACUGCAUUUGGGACUGCAAGGCUGGAGUACGGCAGAGGGAGGUGGAAUUCCACGUGUAGCAGUGAAAUGCGUAGAGAUGUGGAGGAACACCGAUGGCGAAGGCAGCCUCCGUGGGCUAGUACUGACGCUCAUGCACGAAAGCGUGGGGAGCAA
rnacentral:rRNA from 1 species